CAGAGUCCACAGAAGGAGGUUCAACUUCCGCUUCUAGUGAUUCAGGUGCGCCUUCUGAUGACCCCAGCAGUACCACGACUGAUACUGCUUCGACUACUACUACCACAGCAGCCACUUCUACCCGAGCAGGUUUCUUCCAUUGGGUGAAAAGUAAGUUUGAUUCGUUGGGCUAAAAUCAGCCUGGAUCUUCCACAUCUGGUUGUGCCUACCUGGACCGGAACAUAACUUCAUUUGAUUUCAUCCAACUACUUACCUUGCUUAUUAUAUCUCU